rnacentral:rRNA from 1 species
AACGAACGCUGGCGGCAUGCCUAACACAUGCAAGUCGAACGAGACCUUCGGGUCUAGUGGCGCACGGGUGCGUAACGCGUGGGAACCUGCCCUUAGGUUCGGAAUAACUCCCCGAAAGGGGUGCUAAUACCGGAUAAUGUCUUCGGACCAAAGAUUUAUCGCCUUUGGAUGGGCCCGCGUUGGAUUAGCUAGUUGGUAGGGUAAAAGCCUACCAAGGCGACGAUCCAUAGCUGGUCUGAGAGGAUGGUCAGCCACACUGGGACUGAGACCCGGCCCAGACUCCUUCGGGAGGGCAGAAGGGGGAAUAUUGGACAAUGGGCGAAAGCCUGAUCCAGCAAUGCCGCGUGAGUGAUGAAGGCCUUAGGGUUGUAAAGCUCUUUUACCCGGGAUGAUAAUGACAGUACCGGGAGAAUAAGCUCCGGCUAACUCCGUG